rnacentral:rRNA from 1 species
GGGGAAUAUUGCACAAUGGGCGAAAGCCUGAUGCAGCAACGCCGCGUGAGCGAUGAAGGCCUUCGGGUCGUAAAGCUCUGUCCUCAAGGAAGAUAAUGACGGUACUUGAGGAGGAAGCCCCGGCUAACUACGUGCCAGCAGCCGCGGUAAUACGUAGGGGACUAGCGUUAUCCGGAAUUACUGGGCGUAAAGGGUGCGUAGGUGGUUUCUUAAGUCAGAGGUGAAAGGCUACGGCUCAACCGUAGUAAGCCUUUGAAACUGGGAAACUUGAGUGCAGGAGAGGAGAGUGGAAUUCCUAGUGUAGCGGUGAAAUGCGUAGAUAUUAGGAGGAACACCAGUUGCGAAGGCGGCUCUCUGGACUGUAACUGACACUGAGGCACGAAAGCGUGGGGAGCAAAC